rnacentral:lncRNA from 1 species
AAAUAGAUAUAGGAAGAUGUGGUGUGAGUGCCAAUGAGAUAACUCUCCAUCUAAAUAACAAUUUAUAAAAGUAAACCAUUAUAGGUCAAUGUACGGCCUUCAACACGGAGCCUUGGCUCACACAGAACAACAAGCUAUAAAGGGCCCCGAAAUUACUAGUGUAAAACCAUUCAAACGGGAAAACCAACUAUCUAAUCUAUAUAAAAAAAGGAAAAACGAGAAACACGUAUAAAUUACAUAAACAAACGACAACUACUGUACAUCAGAUUCCUGACUUAGGACAGGUGCCAAAAUUUGCAUCGGAAUUAAACGUUUUAAUGGUACCAAACCUUUUCCCUUUUUCUGAAACAAUAGCAUAACAUCACAACAUAGAAACACAAACGAUAAAAUAUCAAUUGGCAGGCUUAACUCAAUCAAAAAACGUAAAUUAACACUUUAUGAACGAAUAAAUUGAUCUGCGAUAUCUGACCUCAAAUGCACAGUUAAUAAAAUAUUAGGGACAAACAUUCAAGUCCAAACAAAGCCAUGGCAAGAC